AACAGUGACACAAAAAAAUUAAAUCGGUUGAUGUACUACCGAAUAGUGAGCCAAAAUGCCUGGUAAUAAUGAAUAUCUUAUCGAUGUUAUACUUUGGUAUGUCAAAUAGCUAUCCGCUAGUAUGAUACAUAAUUUUAAAGGGCAUAAAAUCUACCACCGAACGGUGCAUAAAAAAUUUAAGUUUAUAGACUGGAGUGCUCCAGAUGUGCUCCGUUAUUCGCGAGACAAUAAUAAAGUCUGUUUUGAAAUUCCUCACGAACAUUGGCGAGUAUUUGUCCGCUAAUAUCUCUACAUUGGAACACUCUGCUACAAUUUCCACCAACAAAGAGAAGCCGAGGUCGACUAUCGUCAGGUGUAUUUGGCCUAGUUGGUAGCUGUGUUGGAGAAUUAAUAACAACAGAUUUAGAUAUCUGUAACUGUUCCUUCAAUGCACAAAUGUCGGAAUAACAGUGAAUCGACAUUUAUAUUAAAUGGCACAGUGAAUCGGCAUAACUGCAGAUAUUGGUCAGAUGAAAAUCCCCAUUCGAUGCGUGAAACACAUACCCAGUAUCCUGAAAAUUUUAAUGUUUGGGCAGGUUCACUAAAGCUGAGUGGAUUUAAAUACAAUUUAUAAAUAAAAUAUUAUUAAAAUAGUA